UACGUAGGGUGCGAGCGUUGUCCGGAUUUACUGGGCGUAAAGGGCGCGUAGGCGGCGGGUCAAGUCGAGUGUGAAAGCCCCGGGCUCAACCUGGGAAUUGCGCUCGAGACUGGUCUGCUUGAGUUCGGGAGAGGAGAGUGGAAUUCCCAGUGUAGAGGUGAAAUUCGUAGAUAUUGGGAAGAACACCGGUGGCGAAGGCGGCUCUCUGGACCGAGACUGACGCUGAGGCGCGAAAGCGUGGGGAGCAAACAGG
rnacentral:rRNA from 1 species